rnacentral:lncRNA from 1 species
GAAAAUGCAACAUUUACACUAGUAAAGCCUUAUGUAACUAAUUAAAUACUAAAUAUAAUUACAUAUCAUAUGAAAUGUAAAACAAUUUCUAGUACUACAAUUACCAUUACAAAAUUUGCAAUUUAUUGAAGAAACAAACAUAUCAUACAAAAUUUAUAAUCAUACUACCAUUAAAAAUAUACAAAAAAAGAAAAAACGAUGUACAAAACAUUACCCCG